GACCUGCAGCAGUGAUGCUAAGCCAGAUGCUACUUAUACCUGGCACAGAAGAAAUGGUGAUCUAAGUCCUCAGCGUCUCGGAUGGAGAAAUCAGCUUGUUUUCAGCUCCAUCCAGGUGUCAGACUCUGGACAGUAUUAUUGUAUAGAGUUGGGCGUCAUCAAGGCCUAUAGGGAUGUCUUAGUCUAUGUGAAAUGUGAGUAAAAAGUCACAUUUAAAGGGCAACAGAAGGAUGAAAACCAUACACAACCAUAUCCCAGAACAUUUUUUUAUUCUGUGUUUGUUUCUCUGUCAUUUCUGUUUUUAUCUGUCUUCAGAUGCUCCAAAGCUGUCUUAUGUGUCUGUGAGUCCCUCUUCUGAGAUAGUGGAGGGCAGUUCAGUGACUCUGACCUGUAUCAGUUACGCCAACCCAGCACCACGUUCCACCUGGUACAAGGAGAACAACACCACGUUUCAGUCAACAG